ACUCGAGUGGCGAACGGGUGAGUAACACGUGGGCAACCUGCCCUCAGCUCUGGGAUAACUCCGGGAAACCGGUGCUAAUACUGGAUACGACUUCGCAUCGCAUGGUGUGGAGUGGAAAGUUUUUCGGCUGAGGAUGGGCCCGCGGCCUAUCAGCUUGUUGGUGGGGUAAUGGCCUACCAAGGCGACGACGGGUAGCCGGCCUGAGAGGGCGACCGGCCACACUGGGACUGAGACACGGCCCAGACUCCUACGGGAGGCAGCAGUGGGGAAUAUUGCGCAAUGGGCGAAAGCCUGACGCAGCGACGCCGCGUGAGGGAUGACGGCCUUCGGGUUGUAAACCUCUUUCAGCAGGGACGAAGCGCAAGUGACGGUACCUGCAGAAGAAGCACCGGCCAACUACGUGCCAGCAGCCGCGGUAAUACGUAGGGUGCA
rnacentral:rRNA from 1 species